rnacentral:lncRNA from 1 species
AUUUUAUGUACCCUUCUAGUCCACAAUCACAGCAAUGUUAGACAGAUAAAAUAUGAGACAAUUAAGUAACAUAGCUUCACCUGAAAAUUAGAUAAAUAUUUCUGGAAGGGAAACACUAGAAAACAAAAUAGUGCUUGGUUCCACUUCUGGUGUAAAACAUUCUAGGAGAGACUCACCUGGGGUAAGGGACCAGAUUUGAAACCUCACCUUGACGCAGGAUAGGGCUCCUGGGCUUGCCAAUGGAGGCCCACAUAAAACAGGAACUGCCUGUUGCUUGAAGCUAUGGUUCAUUUAAAGCUGCUGGCCCCGGGGGGGACAGGAGGACACACACAAAAUCUCAAUACCUAAUGGAGAGUCUUUAUCAGAAAUUUCUUAAAUCAUACUGAAACUUUAGAAACUUUUUUCUUUAAAACUAAGAAGAGAAUAAAGGUAGACACUAUUGCCAUUCUAUCCAGCAUGAUUUUAGAGGUUUUAGCCAGCACAGUAAGGCAAGAAAAGAGAUUUAAUCUCUAAAGAGUCAAAAGUUAUUUUUUUAAAAAAAUCGAAAUAAAAAACAACUCCCACAACUUUGAUCAUUUGAGUUCACCUACAUAGAAAAAGCUAUAAUCAAUAUGAGAGUUCAGUCAGUUUACUAGGUAGAAAAAAAAUCAAUAUACAAAGCCCAACAACUUUCCUAUACAAAUGCAAACAGAAAAUGCAAUUAUUUUUAAGAUAAUAUUUAUAAUAAUAGUAGAGGAUAUAAAUUACCUGGGGCAGGGGGGGAGACAAAGUAUGUGUAAAACCUGGAUGGAAAAAAUGAAAACUAUUUGUUAAAAGACAUGAAGAAAGCAUAAACCAAUGGAGGUGUAUGGAUCUUCAUUAAUAGAAAGAUUGAGUAAUCUGAAUAUAGUAAACUAAAUUCAACACAAUUCCUAUCAAAUGCCAGAAAGGUUUUAUACAAAAUGUAACAAACAAUUUCUAAAAGAAAUUUAAAAAUGAAAAGAUCUAAUGAUGGCUGAUACAAUUUUGAAAAAAGAGUAAGAUGAUAUUUGUGGGGAGGGAACUUACUUUUCCAAAUGUCAAGACUUACUAUAAAGCUAAGGAAUUUGAGUGGCAUUGGUGCAGCAUAAGUGAUUGGGUUAUCACUUUUAAGGCAGACUUUACUGUAUGUAGAAAUUUAGGAUAUAUAGAAAUGAGGUAGUUUUUAGUAGGUGAAGGAAUAAUUAGAGAAGUAAUGAUGGAUUUCAAUAAAUGGUGUGGAAACCAUUGGCUGCAUGGAAAAUGGUAAGAUUAGAUCUUUCGUACUGCAUAAUAAAAUGAAUUUCACAUGACUAAAGGAUAAAAUCUAAAAGGCAGUGUUUUAAAGCUUUUAGAAAAAUAUGUAUUUUUAUUCUGAUAUAGGAGAUGAUUUCUGAACUGACGCAAAAAUACUAAGCCAUAAAGAUGACUUUCAUUACAUUUUAUUACCAUUGAAUUAGAAAGAAUGUUCACAAAGAUAAAAUACAAGACACAACCUUUGAGAAUAUUUUGCAAUUGUACAUAUAAUGUACAAAAAUCAAAUGCUGGAGUAUAUAAACUCAUCAUACAAAUCAGUAAAAAAGAGGUAAAUAAAUCCAACAACAAAAUAAACAAAUUGUAUAAUAAGACAGUUUUAGGAAGAGAAAACUGGAAUGUUUAAUAAACAUGAAAAGAUACUCAAACUUCAUCAUAAUCAGAGAAAUGCAAGGUAAAAUAUUGAGGUAUCUACACUUUACACCCAUCAGAUUAGGAAAAUCACUUAAAAGUCCAACAAUACCAAGUCUUGAAGAGAAUGUAAAGAAGCAAUAUAUUGCUUGUACUGCACAGAGAGGCAGUUUUGGUUACAAUCACAUUUGAUAGUGAUUUGACAAGAUCUUAAGUUAGUGAAGUUGCAUAUAUCCUGCAACUCAUAAAACAGAAAAAUUUGCUUUUGAUACAGGGAGAGAACCAUUCUCAAGUGUGCCCAAGGGAACAUGUAGAUCAGGUUCAACUGAACAGUGCUUAUUUCAGCAGGACAUUGUGAUGGACCUAAAUGUCUUUCAGUGAGGGAGUGGGGAUGAAUCAGCUGUGGCUCAUGCAGGCAGUGAAUCCUGUGCGACUGUUCAAUGAGUGAACUAGAACAUGAAUUAAUGCAGGAAAAAAAUGGAAAACUGAAAAAAAGUUGAAGGGGGUUAUAUCGGUCUGCUAGGAAGUUGCCAUAACAAAGUGCCACAGACCAGGUGACUUAAACAACAGUUCUUUGUUUUCUGACAGUUGUGGAGACCAAAAGUCUAAGAUCAAGAUGUCUUGGUAGGUUUGGUUUCUCCAAGGCCUCUCUCCUUGGCUGAUAGAUGGCCACCCUCUUUGCUGUGUCCUCUCAUAGCCUUUUCUCUGUGCUCUCGUCUGGUAUCUCCUCCUCUUCUUGUAAAGCCCCCAGUCAGGUUGGUUAGGGCACACCGUAACAGCCUCCUAAUCAUCUUCAUUACCUCCUUAAAUUCCUCUCUCCAAAUACAUUCUAAGGGACUGGGGGUUAGGGCUUUGCUGUAUGAAUUUGAAGGAGGUGUAAUGCAUCCCCAAACCAGAGUGCUGUCACUUAUAAACAUUAAAAACAUGAAAAACCCAACUACAGGUUGCUUCCAGUAAAACCACUUUGCUAAUAGAAAACUUUUAGGAGAGUCAUCCCCCAGGAUGGAGGUAAAGAAAAGUCAUCUGUAGCUGUACCAUUUUAUUUCUUAAAUAAAGAGGUCAGGAGAUAAUCCAGCAAAAUACUGAGUAAAAUUAAAUGAAAACUACAGAUGUGUCUAUAACAUCACUCACUGCAGGUUUGAACAUUUAAAUUUUUUCAUUAAGAAACUGAAAGUGACCAGUGAGACCUCCACAUCGAAAUGUAGCACUGUGAUUGAAGAGAGAAAGAAAAAGCUCAUAUUUAGACUCUCCCAUGACUUUCCUGGCCCAGUUCCCUAGUCCCCAUGUGCAGCUGGAGACAUCAGUAAAGGAAAUUUACUGUGAAGUUCAGUAGAAGGUACCUCAAAGACAAGUGGCAACAUUCCUUUACUUUUCUCAGAUCUUAAAUUCUCAUCUCUCAUCUUUUAAUGAAAGAAAAAAAAUUCUGUCCAUUUUUUUAAAAAAACAGGUUUUAAAAUGGUAGUGAUACCUACAUCUGCUUUCUCAUGUCACUGAAUACUACAUUUGUAUUUUUAUCUCAUUUUCUGUAUGCAUUUUCCUCGCAACUAAAAUCUUAAUAUGAAAAUAUUAAAAUUACAUUUUAAGAAAAAAAGAAAAAAAAACAAAAACAUAAGAGAACUUAAGCUUUAAUGUGAUGGAGCGUUGGUCAAUGUUUAAAAGUUGCUAUCAGUGCCUUUGGUACUGUGGUUAGGUAAGGGAGAACUUUGCAGAGCAGGGAGGUAUAUUGUAUCUAGAGGAAAACAAAGUUAUAAGUUUUGAGCCUGGAAAGAGUCAAAGAAGCUGGAAAACUAUUAACUUCACAACUAUGAUGGGUUGCUGUGUUUAUAUGCACCUGUACCUUAGAAAAUAGAAACCAUGUGCAAAUGCAUUUGGUGUCCAGCAAGGUUACAUAAGCAGGGAACCUCACUCAGGGCUGACCUAAACCCUUGACAAUCUGUGCUCUCUGGCAGGAUACCACCAAGAGCACGCUUCAAGGUCAUCCUAUACCCACACUGUCCUCCAGGGAAAUCUGCAGGCCAGCCCAGUUAAUUACACUAACAGCCAAGGAAAUUAUAUUGGCCCACUGUGGCCUAGUAAGAUGAAUAUCUCUCUUCCUUAGUCUCAGGGGGAUGUUAAUGGUAUUUUUAUUAACUUGUGACCUGUUGGCUGCUAUUAGAAUAUAGAUUGUAUGCAUAAAGCAGGUCGGGUGUUACAGAUAUGAUUAUGGAGCAAUUACUGUGGCAACCACUGGGCUUCUAAUCAUUGUUGGCAAAGAGAAUUCGAAAGACUUGAGAAUGCUUUUUGUAGUUCAAGGAGAAGAUAUACUUGGGAUUAAAGUUUAUAUUGUUUCUUUGUGGCUUCUUGAAAUUGCCUUUUCUGAUUUCUGUGAUUAGACUGGCAAACAAGGGCAGAUUUUAAAAGAGAAGAAAACUACAAAGGAUAGAUGAUGAUUAGAGUAAUCUUAGAUUUCUGCAGCUCAAGUUUGAAAAUUUUCCUGACUGAAAUUGUUUCUGAUUAGAAAUAGAUACAGUUUGCUAGCAAUUCUCUUUGUCCGGGUAUCCCUGAUAGUUGGUGACCAGAUCAUAUUCUGAUCUCUUAUUUUAGUAAUGAGAAAAUUCACUUCUGCAGUUGUAUACCUGGGGUAUGAAAUACAGCAUUAAGUACUUUGGUCAUGUUCUUUAUGGUCACCUAUUAAUGGUAAUGCCAUCAAGGUUGCCAAAAUGUCUUCAGAGUCGAUAUCUAAGGAUGCCGAUUUAUAUUCUGUGAAGUGCAUUAUUUAUAAUCACAACCUUUCUCCCCCUUAGCUGAAGGAGAGUUUAUGCAACCCCUUUUAAACUGCUGCCUCUGCAUGGAGGGUGAGAUCAGAAGGGACAAAUGGUACCAUUAACACAGUAAAUUACAGUAUUAACUGACUUGACUGGAAGCAGAAAAUACUGUAUCUGAAAUCUUGCCAUCCUAAUUUUAGAAGUCACAAGUGGUUGAGAUGAAAAAGAAAAAAUAAUAAUAAUUUUCCCUUCCAGGUUCUUAGCUCAACUAAAUGUUUGAACUCUGAGCUAGAGUCAGUUCUACUUGAACUUUAGACAGUCUACUUUCAAAUGGGACUAUUCAACAGCAGAGAGAAAGGAGGCAUUGAAAGCAGAAUGGUUUUGCAUUUGAGUCCCUGGGGUUCUGGGCAAGGAGAACUCACAAUGCAUACAAUUGAUCCUGUCCCAGGACUGACACUUUUACUGAUCUCUCUAUGAUCACCAUUGUAACCUUUCCUCUUCUGUACACUGCUAGAAAUAAGAUAGCCUCGGAGAUAAAGCCACUUAUUUGGGGUAGUCUGCAUUAGAAAUGAAGCCUUAUUUUCUGCUAUUAGUGUCCUGCUGAGAUAGCUGUGUUUUCCAAGUUUUUAAAUAAUGUAUCUUAUUUUAAGGUGCAUUUAAUUAUUCUCAUGGCAGCAUAAGCAAAAACAAAAAUAAAAUAUUAGAUGAUAAUGUAUAAUAAUGCAGACAUACUUUUCAGAAACAUGGAUCGGAAAAAUCACUUUGUGAAACUGGGCAUGUUAUUUAACUUAUCUGAGCCUCUGUAAAAUCUAUCCUUUUCCUGUAAAAUUAUUCUGAAAAUUAAAUGAACAAAACAUAGAACACACCUGACAGUUUCCGGGACACAGACACCCUCAUAAAUACACCUACCCUUCCCUCUCAUAUCUCUUCCUCUUGCUAAACUUUUAAGCUUUAAGUGCAUUGAUGCCACAUUUUAAGUGAAGGGCUAAGGGCUGGAAGGAUGUCAAAUGGAUUUCAACAUAAUUUUUAAGAUGUGGUAGAAAAACCCAUUUGCAGACUGAAAAGAAAAAGAGAGUAAUUAAGCUUUAAUUGUUUCACACCAUCAUCCUCUAGUUGAUUAUUUUUCCCUUUUCUAUAACUGAGGCCAGGGGCAAGUUAUUCCCAUCUCUUGAACUUUGGUCAUAAUUGGGGCAUUAAUAAUAUAAGUAGCUGAUAUAUUUUUUUAAAGUCCUAGUAUUUGAAUAAAUAUUUUCUUGACUGGUUUGGUUUUCCCUCCUCUUCUUCACUUUUCUCCUGGUGCCAAGUACCGAGAAAAUUAAAUGGUCAAAAGGAAGAUCCUAGAGAAAAAAGUAGAGUGUUGGACUCUACAGAUUCCAUGAAGCCCUAGAGGAGGGAAGUAAAUUUUACCCCAAUAGAGUGGCGUAAAUAGGAACAGUCAUCUCAUAAUUAUUUUAGAGUCUGUGUUAACGUAAUUAAAUAGGACAUAAUAUCAUGUACAGACACAAUUUACUCUCUGAUGCUUGUUUUUAUUUACCCAGCUUGUCUACAGCCCUGCAGGAAGCCUUUUAAAACAAAACAAUCAAUUAAUUCCCUUAGUACUGGGAAGGUGAAAAUGAGGAAGGCUAGCACUUCGUGAGGAGGUUUUCUGCAUCAAACUGAGAAGAGAUACAAAUGGAUUAAAGAAUUAGUGAGAAUUCGAUUGGGCAAAGAACACCAUUUGUUUCAGCUUUUAUAGGUCAGAACUUCCCUUGCGGCUUGUGUGUGUGUGUUAUAUGUGCUUAUAUAUGCUAUAGAUUAGUUAAUUAUCAAAUAUACAUUUUUCAUAUAGCAGUAUGUUCUAUGAAUUUGGGUUUGUCUCUGUCAUCACUCCCCUCCAUUAGUGUGGAAAUCUACACUGAAAUGAGCACUGUCUUGAUUUGAAAAUGUCAUGAGCUGGCUAUCAGUAGGGACCCUUCUGAUUCAGCAGAAAUUGCCUUCCCAUU